CAACCACAGUGGACACAAACUCAAAUCCUCAUCUCCACUCCUGAUAUAAAUAUGUUCUUCCAUUCAGAUGAUAGACGGUGUAAAUCCAGACAGCUUUCCUCCUGGUUUCGUGUCCCACGUUGCCUUCAGUGUGCUGAGAGCAGAGAAAUCAUUUCCAUAGAGAGGAGGCUUUGCAUGGUCAGCUGAUCCUCCAGUGAGAAGGUUUAUAGUCCUGUGAGUUCAACACUGCAGGACUCACAUCUGUCAGUCAGCAGAAAGCACCAUGACUCUCAUCACCAUCCUCAUCUGGACGCUGGCCUGCUGCUGUUUCACAGGAUGCAGCGGUCAGGUGACUGUGACUCAGCCUGCAGUCGAGACGUCUGCUCCAGGAUCCACCGUCACUCUCACCUGUAAAACCAGCACAGAUGUUUAUCACUCCUGCCGUGUUGUUCGUAGUUAUGAUUGUAUGUCCUGGUAUCAACAGAAAUCUGGACAGCCUCCAAAGCUCCUGAUAAGAUUUGCGAGCACACUUGAAUCAGGAACAGAACCUCGGUUUAGUGGCAGUGGAAGAAGAUCUGACUUCUCUAUGACCAUCACUGGACUGAAGGCUGAAGAUGCAGCAGUUUAUUACUGUCUGAGUUACCACAGUGCUUACGUGUUCACACAGUGAUUUGAAGUCGUACAA